CGCGAAUGGCUCAUUACAACAGCUAUAAUUUACCAGUUGUUCGUUUCUAAACGGAUAACUGCGGUAAUUCUGGAGCUAAUACGUGCUGAAAACUCCAAUUCCAUUGGAAUUGGGUGCAUUUAUUAGUGCAAAACCAGUCUUUGAACUGUUUGCUUAAUCCGAAUAACCGUUUAUAUCGCAUGGUCUUGUACCGGCGAAAUCACUGUCAAGUAUCUGCCUUAUCAACUGUCGUUGGUGCUGUAUUGGAGUACCAUGGUAUUAACGAGUAACGGAGAAUCAGGGUUUGACUCCGGAGAGGGAGCCUUAGAAACGGCUACCAUGUCUAAGGAUAGCAGCAGGCGCGAAAAUUACCCAAUGUCAAAACGACGAGGUAGUGACGAGUAAUAACAUUACCGUUCUCUAUGAGGUCGGUUAUUGGAAUGAGUACAAUCCAGACACUUUAACGAGUAUCUACGAGAGGGCAAGUCUGGUGCCAGCAGCCGCGGUAAUUCCAGCUCUCGUAAGGUAUAGAAUUAUUGCUGUGGUUAAAAAGUUCGUAGUUGGAUGGUUAGUUGACACGGGUCCACCGUUUCACGGUCGGCACUCGUUGUCUUCAAUUUGCGUGUUCUUGUGCGUUGUUCACUUCGGUGUUCGGCGUGCGCCACGCAAGAUUACUUUGAACGGCUCAAGUGCUCAAAGCACGUCUUAUGACUGAAUACCGGUGCAUAGAAUAAUGGAAAAAGGCUUCGGCCGAGUUAUUGCUGGUUUUGUCGGCUGAGGCAAUGGUUAACAGAAACAGCCGGUGGCAUUCGUAUCGUUACGCGAGAGGUGAAAUUCGUGGACCGUAGCGAGACGUCCUAAAGCGAAGGCACUUGCCAAGAGUGUUUUCAUUAAUCAAGAACGAAAGUCAGAGGUUCGAGGGCGAUCAGAUACCGCCC
rnacentral:rRNA from 1 species